rnacentral:rRNA from 1 species
UCGGGAAUUUUGGGCAAUGGGCGAAAGCCUGACCCAGCAACGCCGCGUGAAGGAUGAAGUAUUUCGGUAUGUAAACUUCGAAAGAAUAGGAAGAAUAAAUGACGGUACUAUUUAUAAGGUCCGGCUAACUACGUGCCAGCAGCCGCGGUAAUACAUGUGGGGCAAGCGUUGUUCGGAAUUACUGGGCAUAAAGGGUGCGUAGGCGGUUUGUUAAGUCACUGGUGAAAGUUUGCGGCCCAACCGUAAAAUUGCCUGUGAUACUGGCGAACUUGAGUGCGUGAGGGGUAGGGGGAACGAGCAGUGUAGCGGUGAAAUGCGUAGAUAUUGCUCGGAAGGCCGGAGCCGAAGGGGCCCUACUGGUACGUAACUGACGCUGAGGCACGAAAGCGUGGGGAGCAAACAGGAUUAGAUACCCCGGUAGUCCCUGAG